AUUUUUCUCACAUCGGUUUCACUUUCAAUCACAUAUGGUACCUUGCUUAUGGGCAUAUACCCAAAUAGUAUUUUUUGGGUUAAAUACUUUUUUGUCCUCUUGUUUUAACAAUUUUAUUUUUCUCACAUCGGUUUCACUUUCAAUCACAUAUGGUACCUUGCUUAUGGGCAUAUACCCAAAUAGUAUUUUUCAUCCAUCUGCCAUUAAGAAAACUAACGGAACUUCACGUCAUAGCUACUAUGCCCCUAUAAAAAAGCAACACUUGUCCUCUGUGCCAUGUAAUUUACUACACUAAUUUACACGACUUGGCAACGUUAUUUUUUUUAUUCACAUAGGACAUUAAAAUUCUAGAGGAAAAAAUAACGAUUAUCAUCCUAAAACUCGUCAACCACCUUCGUAUAGCGAUUAUCAUCCUAAAACUCGCACGAUGUAUGGCGUGAAGGAGUAAAUGGCAUCAUUAGGUCGUGAAUGGGAUUCAAAAGGGAAGGAAGCUUCCCACAGCAUAGAUAAGUGGGCUGUAGUGAGAUGCCAUUAAUAUGUUUUUGUGCUUUACCCGCACCAUUGAACACAUCCUGGAUUGAGCAAAACUCCGGCAGACAAUUUUGGAAUUGAACCACCUAUCAUUCAAACAAAAACGAAGCCCGUUGAUUUUUCAAAUGGUUGGACAGAUCAACAUGUGGAAGGGGUAUGGAGGUAUUACCUCAGCUAUUGAAGAAGGCUAAAGGCAUAGAGAAUGAAAAUUACAGCUACAUGGCAAGGGUUCAAGAACUGGAGAAUGAAAAUGACAAAUACAUGGCAAGGGUAAAGUAGUUGGAGAAGGAAGCUGAUGGACAUAUGGAGAUGAUAAAUUACUUAAAGAAGGAAAAUGACAUCUCUAGGGCUAUUGAGAAUUUUUAUAUGAUUGUUUGUUGUUGUCAUGGUUGCUAAUGUUGUUGAUUGGUAGUAUUGCACACUUACUAAGUGACUCUUCUAUUAUGUUGUUA